ensembl:rRNA 5S_rRNA 5S ribosomal RNA
AUCUACGGCCAUACCACCCUGAAUGCGCCCGAUCUCGUCUAAUCUUUGAAGCUUAAGCAAGGUCGGGCCUGGUUAGUACUUGGAUGGGAAAAUGCCAGGUGCUGUAGGCU